CUGGUUCAGGACGAACGCUGGCGGCGUGCCUAAUACAUGCAAGUCGAACGGUCUUUCUAUGGAAGCUUGCUUCCACUGAGAAGAUAGUGGCGAACGGGUGAGUAACACGUGGGUAACCUGCCCAUAAGAGGGGGGAUAACAUCCGGAAACGGGUGCUAAUACCGCAUAGUUUUCUUGAUCGCAUGAUCGGGAAAGGAAAGACGGCCUUUGUGCUGUCGCUUAUGGAUGGACCCGCGGCGUAUUAGUUAGUUGGUGAGGUAACGGCUCACCAAGACGAUGAUACGUAGCCGACCUGAGAGGGUGAUCGGCCACAUUGGGACUGAGACACGGCCCAAACUCCUACGGGAGGCAGCAGUAGGGAAUCUUCCGCAAUGGACGAAAGUCUGACGGAGCAACGCCGCGUGAGUGAAGAAGGUUUUUUCGGAUCGUAAAACUCUGUUGUCAGAGAAGAACAAGUUGGAGAGUAACUGCUCCAGCCUUGACGGUAUCUGACCAGAAAGCCACGGCUAACUACGUGCCAGCAGCUGC
rnacentral:rRNA from 1 species